rnacentral:rRNA from 1 species
CUUCGGGUGAAGGUGGCGGACGGGUGAGUAACGCGUAAAGAACUUGCCUUACAGACUGGGACAACAUUUGGAAACGAAUGCUAAUACCGGAUAUUAUGAUUGGGUCGCAUGAUCUGAUUAUGAAAGCUAUAUGCGCUGUGAGAGAGCUUUGCGUCCCAUUAGUUAGUUGGUGAGGUAACGGCUCACCAAGACGAUGAUGGGUAGCCGGCCUGAGAGGGUGAACGGCCACAAGGGGACUGAGACACGGCCCUUACUCCUACGGGAGGCAGCAGUGGGGAAUAUUGGACAAUGGACCAAAAGUCUGAUCCAGCAAUUCUGUGUGCACGAAGAAGUUUUUCGGAAUGUAAAGUGCUUUCAGUUGGGAAGAAGUCAGUGACGGUACCAACAGAAGAAGCGACGGCUAAAUACGUGCCAGCAGCCGCGGUAAUACGUAUGUCGCAAGCGUUAUCCGGAUUUAUUGGGCGUAAAGCGCGUCUAGGCGGCUUAGUAAGUCUGAUGUGAAAAUGCGGGGCUCAACCCCGUAUUGCGUUGGAAACUGCUAAACUAGAGUACUGGAGAGGUAGGCGGAACUACAAGUGUAGAGGUGAAAUUCGUAGAUAUUUGUAGGAAUGCCGAUGGGGAAGCCA